rnacentral:lncRNA from 1 species
AAUCCUCUUGUUUUCGGAACCGUCAGCAGAUGCGGCUUCCUUUACCUGAAUAAUCCUUUAAAGGAGUAAUAAUUUUUAAAAAGGAGCUCGACCUCAGCCAAAGAGGACGGCGCACGAGAUUAGGGCUUGUAGAUCCACUGCCUUUGGUUGGGCCGGCUGAAUCGCUGGGGACUGCGGCCAGUCUCUUAAAAAAGGAGAACAAAAAGCCGAAGACCUUGUGUGGCCGCCGGGACAAAGCACCUUGGGUUCGGCGAGAAGGGACGCGCAGGAGCGCUGAACCCAGAACACGCGUGGCCGCUGCGGAAGGGCGUCCGCCCGGCGUGCGGAACGCUGAGGGGACUCUCAUCCUCUGUCUCGCCCCCUUUUUUUGACCCGGGGAUCCAGCCGCAUUAUACACGAGUGACCUUUUAAAUCUACGUCCACCCUUUACCUGCGAGAGGACUGCAGCAGGCGAGUUCCGGAAGGCUGAAUCCCCAGGUCCCAGCCCCGGACCGCGGCAACUCGCCCCUGCGGCACGCCCGGCCCGGCUGCGCCCCCACUCAGCGAUGGAGAAACAGCCCAGAUCUCCUCUUAAGCGGAAAAGAGAUUGACCUUCUAGCAGAGGCAAAGAAUGGAGUCUUCUGGGGGCAGCUGCAAAGCGUUCUCCCUAGGACAGAUGGAGCCUCCCUUUCCUCAUCUACUCUGUGGGUGGUUUCAGGGCCCACGAGUCAACAUGAGGAGUUGUGCUGGUGGUAUGUGUGUUGGAGGCUGGGCUGGCUGAUUCACAGUGACGAGGAUGUCAAUAAUAACAAGAAUGAGAAUGAUGGUACCUAAUAAAGACUUUUUUUCCCAA